UACGGAGGAUGCAAGCGUUAUCCGGAUUUAUUGGGCGGAAAGCGUCCGUAGGUGGUUCAUCAAGUCUGCUGUCAAAGCGCGAGGCUUAACUUCGUACAGGCAGUGGAAACUGGUGGACUUGAGAGUGAUAGGGGCAGAGGGAAUUCCCAGUGUAGCGGUGAAAUGCGUAGAGAUUGGGAAGAACACCGGUGGCGAAAGCGCUCUGCUGGGUCAUAUCUGACACUGAGGGACGAAAGCUAGGGGAGCGAAAGGG
rnacentral:rRNA from 1 species